GGAGAGGCCCCCGCCCCGGGGUCAGCCCGCCUCCCACAGGCCUCUGCGCGCUUCCGGCCCCCGGGCGGCGCUGUCCGGCCCGGCCCGGCCCGCCCGCGCGGUUCGCGCCUCUGCCGUGUCUCCUCAACUGGCACGUUUGAGGACCAGGCCUUGAGAGAGCAAGAUGGCGGAACUGCGGUCAGGGGCUGCCGCUGCGUCUGCUUUGGCGGGAGAAGUGUUGAACUAUAUCCACUUCCUCGUUUCCUGUUCUACUCUCAGCAUUCGAGUCCGGGUAAGGAAAACCACUACAUUCUGCCUUGUAGUGUCAGAUGGCUGAUGGUUGGACUGAGAAAUGAUCUCCAUCCUUUCCACACUCCGUAAAUGAGGUCAACUGGCUGUCAGGUAGGUCUCUUGUCCCUCCUCUUUAGUCCCCUCCCCUCAUCUCAUUUUUCUCAUUGCCAUGUCUCUUUUAGUAUGACUACCCCUGGCAAUGACAUUUUGGACAAUGAAGUGUGCUGUUGAAAUGUAUUCUGGCUUAAUAGGAAUUUCUUCUAUAAUUCAUUCAACUUCUCAACCUGACUUCAUGAUCCACCAUAAUCCAUUAAAAUGAGAAAACUGGCACAUAGACCGGUUCAAUGUUUUAGUCCCAAAAUUAGUGACCAGAAUUCAGUUCUCUCACUUUCUAACAUGACUCCCUUUCUAUGUAAUGCCCAGACUUCAAUCAAAUGAACUAUAUGUAUUUUGUUGGAGACAGUUAUUUUCAGAGAAGGGCCUUAUCUUCAGCUCUGUUGUUCAGCAUGGCCAUGGUUUUCCUGUCAGUCCUAGUACUCUUUGAGGCAAAACAGCAUUGAUUGUGACAGUGAAGACACAGCCUGAUGACUGAGUUUGAGGCUGUUCAUUUAGAUCUGAGAAAGCCUUUUGUCACAGGGCUACACUUUGCUGGGGUCCUUUGCCCUUUUGACAAUGACUUUCUUCUAAGUCACUAAGUUUGAAGUUAAAGUUGGUUGAGAAGUUUAAAGAGGAGGGUACUGGAGGUUUGUAUAUUUUAAGAUAGAGUGCUGUGUAUUUGACAUAUGCAUUGAUAGAAGAUUGAAUAUCUCAGAAUUAUGUACAGUGCUAUUGCUUCUUAGAGCAUUUAAUGUGUAUGUGUUUAGUAAAACUUUUUACUAAGAUUAUUUUCAUUUUAAUCAAUUUUGUUGAACAUUUUGGAAAGAAAUCCACAUCCAACUGAAUUAAUCCAAGACAUAUUAUUUAUUUCCCCUUACAAACAUUACUUUAAAGUUUAAAAAUUCUUCAGCUAAUACCUGUAAACUCUUUGGGAUUUAGCAAAGUGAAUUUGUCAGUCUUUUCAUAUUUAUUGUGCUUAUGACUCAAAGAGAAA
rnacentral:lncRNA from 1 species